rnacentral:rRNA from 1 species
UAGCUAGUUGGUGAGGUAAAGGCUUACCAAGGCGACGAUCUGUAGCGGGUCUGAGAGGAUGAUCCGCCACACUGGAACUGAGACACGGUCCAGACUCCUACGGGAGGCAGCAGUGGGGAAUUUUGGACAAUGGGGGCAACCCUGAUCCAGCCAUGCCGCGUGAGUGAAUAAGGCCUUCGGGUUGUAAAGCUCUUUCGGCCGGGAAGAAAUCGCAUGGGCCAAUACCCUGUGUGGAUGACGGUACCGGAAUAAGAAGCACCGGCUAACUACGUGCCAGCAGCCGCGGUAAUACGUAGGGUGCGAGCGUUAGUCGGAAUUACUGGGCGUAAAGCGUGCGCAGGCGGUUUUGUAAGACAGGCGUGAAAUCCCCGGGCUUAACCUGGGAACUGCGUUUGUGACUGCAAGGCUAGAGUACGGCAGAGGGGGGUGGAAUUCCACGUGUAGCAGUGAAAUGCGUAGAGAUGUGGAGGAACACCAAUGGCGAAGGCAGCCCCCUGGGUCGAUACUGACGCUCAUGCACGAAAGCGUGGGUAGCAAACAGGAUUAGAUACCCUGGUAGUCCACGCCCUAAACUAUGUCAACUAGGUGUUGGGUGGGUAAAACCAUUUAGUACCGUAGCUAACGCGUGAAGUUGACCGCCUGGGGAGUACGGCCGCAAGGUUAAAACUCAAAGGAAUUGACGGGGACCCGCACAAGCGGUGGAUGAUGUGGAUUAAUUCGAUGCAACGCGAAAAACCUUACCUACCCUUGACAUGCCAGGAACUUGCCAGAGAUGGCUUGGUGCCCGAAAGGGAGCCUGGACACAGGUGCUGCAUGGCUGUCGUCAGCUCGUGUCGUGAGAUGUUGGGUUAAGUCCCGCAACGAGCGCAACCCUUGUCGUUAAUUGCCAUCAUUUAGUUGGGCACUUUAACGAGACUGCCGGUGACAAACCGGAGGAAGGUGGGGAUGACGUCAAGUCCUCAUGGCCCUUAUGGGUAGGGCUUCACACGUCAUACAAUGGUCGGUACAAAGGGUUGCCAAGCCGCGAGGCGGAGCCAAUCCCAGAAAGCCGAUCGUAGUCCGGAUUGCAGGCUGCAACUCGCCUGCACGAAGUCGGAAUCGCUAGUAAUCGUGGAUCAGCAUGUCACGGCGAAUACGUUCCCGGGUCUUGUACACACCGCCCGUCACACCAUGGGAGCGGGUUCCGCCAGAAGUAGGUAGCCUAACCGCAAGGGGGGCGCUUACCACGGCGGGGUUCGUGACUGGGGUGAAGUCGUAACAAGGUAGCCGUAGGGGAACCUGCGGCUG